GACGAUCCAUGGGGUCCUUUGCCCCGUGUCACCCAGGCGGCCGGUUGCCCUCUCCAAAAUAACCAAAAGUAUUUCUUCUGUGUCCUUCCGAGCAAGUACUUUUCUCUCGUCUUUCUCUUUGUGGACAGAGGUCUUGUUUGUCUUUUCCAGGAGACACUGGAGGAGUCUUAAUAUUCAAAUCCCAAAGGGGAUAGAUUCUAAGAUGGCACCUGUGCUCCUGUCUGCUGAGGUCUCAGGCAGGGGAGGACCCAGAGGCUCAGAGGCAAGAUGUCGAAGAGAAAUAAAAGGCUCAGAAGUGGUAAGCAGUGGAGGAAGAAACACAUGGCUCAGUUGGGUGAAUAGAUGAACCACUGGCAUACUACCGCGCUCAAAACUUAUUUCAUUUUUAUUCACAUGGUUCAUGCAAGGAAGAAUGAGCUUAGAGAUGAAAGAUUUGGUUCAAGUUCUAGCUCCUCCACGAUGUGACCUUGAAGGUAAUAGAAUCUCUUCAAAUCUUAGUUUCUCCAUCUAUAAAAUUAUAAUAGUGGUUAAGAAUUAGGGGGGGAGGUUUACCAAAUUCUACUUGUCUAAUUAUGUCUUUAAAUAUUUGCUCUAAAGUGAAUCUAAAAUGAAUGUUAUUUAAUAUAUAAGCUUAAUGUAUUAUAGUAUCAAUAGCUGUUAUUUAUUUAUUUAACUUUUUGAGGAAGAUUAGCCCUGAGCUAACUACUGCUAAUCCUCCUCUUUUUGCUGAGGAAGACUGGCCCUGAGCCAACACCCGUGCCCAUCUUCCUUUACUUUAUAUGUGGGAUGCCUACCACAGCAUGGUUUUGCCAAGCAGUGCCAUGUCGGUACCUGGGAUCCAAACCGGUGAACCCCGGGCCCCCAAAGUGGAACGUGCACACUUAACUGCUGCACCACCAGGCCGGCCCCUCAGUAGCUGUAUUAAUUGAACAUUUUCCAUGUGCCUGUGACUACAAAGCGCUUUAAUAAUGGUACUGAUGUUAAUAAUAAUAAACUCACUGCAUGCCUGCCA
rnacentral:lncRNA from 1 species